rnacentral:rRNA from 1 species
GACGAACGCUGGCGGCGUGCUUAACACAUGCAAGUCGAACGGAAAGGCCCUGCUUUUGUGGGGUGCUCGAGUGGCGAACGGGUGAGUAACACGUGAGUAACCUGCCCUUGACUUUGGGAUAACUUCAGGAAACUGGGGCUAAUACCGGAUAGGAGCUCCUGCUGCCUGGUGGGGGUUGGAAAGUUUCGGCGGUUGGGGCUGGACUCGCGGCUUAUCCGCUUGUUGGUGGGGUAGUGGCUUACCAAGGCUUUGACGGGUAGCCGGCCGGAGAGGGUGACCGGCCAAAUUGGGACUGAGAUACGGCGCAGACUCCUACGGGAGGCAGCAGUGGGGAAUAUGGCACAAUGGGCGGAAGCCUGAUGCAGCAACGCCGCGUGCGGGAUGACGGCCUUCGGGUUGUAAACCGCUUUCGCCUGUGACGAAGCGUGAGUGACGGUAAUGGGUAAAGAAGCACCGGCUAACUACGUG